AGCCUCAUUCUAAGAAUGGGCAUUGUUGGGCAAUGUCCAGAUUUGGUCAAUGUGGCUAAAGUGAUACAGGUCAUGCUUCCAUCACAGCAGAUAAAUUACAGUGGUGUCAAUGAGACCUGUAACAUAC